UCGACGUACUCUGCAGCGGUAGAUGAUACAUGGCAACUGCGUCGUGAAGACAGCUUUGCUGAAGCGGGACGGUGAAGGACGGCUGUUAGACGCAGCAGCAUGUUAUUACGCUGUAUUUAUCGUAUGCGGUUUCAUCGAGGCAUUAUAGGCACAUUAAAAUUUUCCAGAAUUGCUUUGGGCAAGUUGUAUUCUAAUUCAUCCAGCUUAAACAAACAGGCUAUUUAAAGGACAUCAGCCUAACAUAAGCUGCUUUAUUUUGAGUGAACGAAGACGGUAUAAAUAGACUUUGAAUAGUGCAACAAGUAAAUGCUUCAUGUGAAAUGGCUGGCGUUACAUCAUUGCCUGUGAGAGUGAAGUUCUGGAGAGGCACUGGGCUCUUUGGGCCAGCCAUUAUGCAGAGAAAAGCUGUCAACAUGAAGCAGAAUCCACUUAAACAUAUAAAGGAUAAGGAGGAGAAAAUUAACUAAAGACGACUAAUGCCCCCCAGUAGGUGGACAAAGUCAACGAUGCUGGGGUUUUUAUAUGAUAAGACAAAUGCAUCACUGCUGCCCUACAACGGUCUUUUAGCGUCUGGAAAAAAAAAGAAAAAGAUGUUUGUUUCGACCAGAAAAAUCAGCGUAAUAGUAAGGUGUUUCUCCACAAAGACAGCCAGAGGUCUGUGUGGAUCCUGCCGGUAAUGUAGCGUCCACCGUGCGGUUUGCACUGCAACUCAUCAUUACUGCUGGCUUGAGUUGGCGCUGCCGAAAUGACUUGUAUAAAAUAUCUGUCCUGCUCUAA